rnacentral:rRNA from 1 species
UAUUAUUAAGCGGAGGAAAAGAAACUAACAAAGAUUGACAUAGUAAGGGCGACUGAAACGUCAUAAGCUCAGCAUGUGAAUCAGCGCUUAUUUGAGUAAGCGCUGAAUUGUGAACYUUUGAUUAUUGCACCACUURGUUCAGACCAUGUUUUUUGGAAUAAAAUAGCAAAGAGGGUGAAACUCCCGUUUGUUUGAACUMUGGACGCAAUAGUYACUGAGUCGAGUUGUUUGGGAUUGCAGCUCAAAUGCGGUGGUAAAUUCCAUCUCAAGCUAAAUAARGGCAGGAAACCGAUAKWRAAAAAGUACCGUGAGGGAAAGAUGCAAAGAACUUUGAAAAGAGAGUGAAAGAGUACCUGAAAUUGCUGAAAAGGAAGCGAACGAAGCUAGUGAAAGYUACGUCAUACUUUCCACAUUGCUCGCAAUGUGGACGCUGUGGCUGGCCAUGUYCACCUUGAUUGAAAUAUGUGAAACUGGCAAAGAAAGUUUUUCUCUUGCCUUCUGCAUGCAUUGAAAUUGAGUCGAACAAAAUAGCUUUGUUUGCCCCGUCUAGAAACACGGACCAAGGAGUCUAACAUAUGUGCAAGUACUGRGGUAGCCAACCUUGGUGCAAAAUGAAAGUGUCAGAGGCUGGAAUGAGUUUGCAUUUGCACAGUCCGCCGGCCUCAAUCCCUCGGGAAAAUGGUCUGAGUGUGAGCAUACAUGUUGGGACCCGAAAGAUGGUGAACUAUGCUUGAGUAGGGUGAAGCCAGGGGAAACUUUGGUGAAGGCUCGCAGCGAUUCUGACGUGCAAAUCGAUCGUCAAACUUGAGUAUAGGGGCGAAAGACUAAUCGAACUAUCUAGUAGCUGGUUCCCUCCGAAAUUUCCCUUAGGAUAGCUGCAAUCUCACGAGAAAGCCAGUUUUGUCA